rnacentral:rRNA from 1 species
CGGACGGGUGAGUAACGCGUGGGCAACCUGCCUUACACAGGGGGACAACAGCUGGAAACGGCUGCUAAUACCGCAUAUGCGCACAGGGCCGCAUGGCCUGGUGCGGAAAACUCCGGUGGUGUAAGAUGGGCCCGCGUCUGAUUAGGUAGUUGGCGGGGUAACGGCCCACCAAGCCGACGAUCAGUAGCCGGCCUGAGAGGGUGGACGGCCACAUUGGGACUGAGACACGGCCCAAACUCCUACGGAAGGCAGCAG